rnacentral:rRNA from 1 species
GACGAACGCUGGCGGCGUGCUUAACACAUGCAAGUCGAACGGAAAGGCUCCAGCUUGCUGGAGUACUCGAGUGGCGAACGGGUGAGUAACACGUGGGUAAUCUGCCCUGCACUCUGGGAUAAGCCUGGGAAACUGGGUCUAAUACUGGAUAUUACCUUUCUCCUUAUGGGGUUUGGUGGAAAGUUUUUCGGUGUAGGAUGAGCCCGCGGCCUAUCAGCUUGUUGGUGGGGUGAUGGCCUACCAAGGCGACGACGGGUAGCCGGCCUGAGAGGGUGAUCGGCCACAUUGGGACUGAGAUACGGCCCAGACUCCUACGGGAGGCAGCAGUGGGGAAUAUUGCACAAUGGGCGGAAGCCUGAUGCAGCGACGCCGCGUGAGGGAUGACGGCCUUCGGGUUGUAAACCUCUUUCAGCAGGGACGAAGCGUAAGUGACGGUACCUGCAGAAGAAGCACCGGCUAACUAUGUG